rnacentral:rRNA from 1 species
ACAGAGCUAAAAUUUAACGCCUAAGCACUAAGACUUUACAGUUAAAACUUAAAGAACAUGGCGGCGGUAUUUAUUCAGGGGAACUUACCAGGUAAAUGACAACCCACAAGGAACCGUGCUGAACUUAAAAGUAUGUAUACCGCCGUCAAGAACUUACUUAAGGUAAGUUCAACUAGUUUCUCAACUAAAAGACAGGUCAUGGUGCAGCCAAUAAUUCAGUCCUAGGCGAGUUACAUUAUUACUUUUUUUCGUAACCUGCUAUGAAAUAGGCAGGAAAAGUCGGACUUGAAAGUAAAAUUUAAAAGAAAUAUCUAUUGAAUUUUCCUUUACCGUGC